CUACAGACUGAUAGGAGGAACCAAAGAGCUCUGUAAAGAUCUGAGCAGACCUGGGAACCCGAGAGAGGGUACUGAAGUGAUGCUGAGGUGGCAGGGGUGAACACACUCCAGACAGACUAAUGAGAUUGCCGGAGUCCAGUGCUGACCUUCUCUGCGAUUGGUGCAGAAAACACAUUUUAAGCUUAAAAGGAGCCUCGUAAACAUGUGGAUGCGAGGAAACUCCCACCUUUCUACCCUCAAUGCCGCUACUUCGGUGCCCUGACAACAACAUGUUUCCAUGGAGAGCAGUUGAUCCUAAAAUUUAAACCGACACAAAAACACACACAUAAAAACACGCACAUAAAAACACAUAUGCCUGACUUAAUCGCAGCCCCGCUUCCCUUUGUUUGUUUUGUUUUCAGCUUAAUUUCCCCCAAAAAAGAGAGCUGAGACGCUUAACAUGAUACCAGGAUAACAAAGGCAGGAGAUAAUCCUAAUUCUAACUGCUCAAAGGCAAUCUAAACACAAAACAUCCCCCUUAAAAGGAGCCGUUUUAAACUGUCAGCACUGACUGCACAAUUUGCCAUUAUAUUAAACACUUAGGACUUUUCAAGUACUAUAUCUAAGCACUUUUAGCUCUUCUGUUGCCACUCUUACUUAAAGGUUCUGAAAAGUCUUUGUCAGUCUGUAGUCGACAAAUAUCCUAUGUGAGUUUAUGUAGCAUGGGUUAGUCAUAGAUCUACGACCAUUUUGGCAAAUGUUUAUUAUAAUGCCGAAUUUUUAUGCGACACAAUAUUUGUUGAUGUUAAGUCAUUUUUGUUAGUUUUACUUGAAUGUCUAUAUUAUGCAAAAUUAAAGAAAUAGUUAAGCUUU